rnacentral:tRNA from 1 species
GGGAAGGUGGCUCAGUGGUAGAGUGCUUGCCUUGCAUGCAUGAGGCGCUGGGUUCCAUUCCU